rnacentral:rRNA from 1 species
UACGUAGGGGGCAAGCGUUGUCCGGAAUCAUUGGGCGUAAAGCGCGUGUAGGCGGCUUGGUAAGUCCGCUCUGAAAGCCCGGGGCUCAACCCCGGGAGGCGGGUGGAUACUGUCAAGCUCGAGUCCGGAAGAGGCGAGUGGAAUUCCUGGUGUAGCGGUGAAAUGCGCAGAUAUCAGGAGGAACACCAAUGGCGAAGGCAGCUCGCUGGGACGGUACUGACGCUGAGACGCGAAAGCGUGGGGAGCGAACAGG